rnacentral:rRNA from 1 species
UACGAAGGGGGCUAGCGUUGUUCGGAAUUACUGGGCGUAAAGCGCACGCAGGCGGCUCGAUAAAUUAGAAGUGAAAGCCCCGGGCUUAACCUGGGAAUUGCUUUUAAGACUGUCGGGCUAGAAUCCAGAAGAGGGUAGUGGAAUUCCGAGUGUAGAGGUGAAAUUCGUAGAUAUUCGGAAGAACACCAGUGGCGAAGGCGACUACCUGGUCUGGCAUUGGCGCUCAUGUGCGAAAGCGUGGGGAGCAAACAGG